CUUUCCUGUGCCUUGAUACCAGAACAGCACUGCUGUUUAUUUAGCACACCUGUGUUAUUUAGCACACUGUUUGUGCUUCUGUUCCUCCUGCAGGAGACGUACACAUCCUUCUGAAGCAGCUUGUGCUGUUUGGUUUUGAUGAGCAGGCUGAGGGGCUGCAGCAAGCCCUGGAAGAAGUUCUGCAGUUGAUGGAGGCCUCAAUCCCAGAAAUCUGGACUCCAGCCUUGCAGCAGAGUUCUCUCAACCCGGUCCUGGGACCCAACUCAACUGCAAACAGCAUCAUGGCUGCCUAUCAGCAGAAGAGGAUGGUGGUUCCUGCUGUACAAGAUCCAGAACUACUAAUUGCACCAAAACUCAAUAAAAAUCUACAGUGGAAACUGCAUCUUUUCCAGUAAUGAAAAGUCAAGGAAUCCCAGUGGACUCUGAACUGUUACUUUUCAUAUUUCAUUACACCUUUAUUAAAACAUUGUUGGUAUUCCUGCUGUAUUGGUCUUGUGGCUGUGCAAGUGAAUGAUCCUUCCAACUGAUGUAACUCUGACCCAUAGUUUGUGAGGCUGUGUGGCCCUGAGCGCUGCUGGCUAAAUCCAACCUCUGCCACUACUCUUCCCUCCCUUCUGAGUGAAGCAAAUCCCCCCCUGCUCCAUGGG
rnacentral:lncRNA from 1 species